UUCGAUGGUGAAUCGUGUGGUUCUGUUGGUUUUCUUGGCUUGUUACUUCGUUGUUGCGAAUGGGUCGGGGGGGGGCUUUGACGUUGUCUUCAAAGCCGAUACACCGGUACUCCGAGGAGGCGAAGGCGUUGUGGGUUUCGAGGAGUGGGAAUGUGGAUGUGAAGUGGCCAAAGAAGAACAACUUGGAGUACUUGGAAUUGCUCAAGAGAAACGACUUGAUGAAGAAGAAGAGGCAAAACAUGAAGCUAGUAAACCACUACGACUUGCUUUUCCCUUCCCAUGGCAGCCAGACCUUGUUCUUUGGCAAUGACUUGGAUUGGUUGCAUUACAAAUGGAUUGAUAUAGGGACACCAAAUGUGUCGUUUAUGGUAGCGUUGGACGCUGGAAGCGAUUUGCUAAGUUCUGUGUUUGAAUAUCCGUGGAAAUGAUGUAAGCCUGAGUGAAUACAAUGGGAAGGUGCUCCUGAUUGUCAAC